rnacentral:sRNA from 1 species
GGGAUUUGAUGAUAAACUGAAAAAUCUACUCCCUGGUGGACUACAGACGCCCAGACCUACAAAGCUGGUAAGUUAACAAAUUUUAAACUUCUAGAAUGAAACAUUUAUUCCUUUCAGGAACCUAAUCCGAAGCUUGCUGCUUUGUUCAAAUUCUUAGAGAUAUAUCAGGGCUCACUCAUUGAGAAAGCAUUCGAAUUUUCUAAUGACAGAGUCAAGAUAAUUGCUUAUAUUCCACAUGACGUCUCAUUGGAACUAAAAGAAGGCAACUAUGACAAAUCACUUGCACUGAUCCGAACCAGACGAAUGGCUAAAAUGAUGGGUGAACUUUGGGAAGAGGAAAGAAAACUUUUCGAGGAGGAAAAUAGAAAGAGAGCAGGCAUGAUAAAAUACGCAAAACGCUGUGAUGUAAAUCGACAACCAGUUCAAAAAGUCAUGGAGGAUAUUCGUAACAUGUACUGCGAUCUGAUGUCAUGUCUAUCACGACGAGAAGCUCUUAUCCGACAGGAAGAAAAAGAUCGACAAAUGCUCUUGAAAGUUGGCUUCAAAAUCUGCAAUGACUGGCUUCCGGACGGCAUCCACAACAGACCAACACCAAUUGAUUUGUUGAAGCCUCAUGAGCGGAAG